rnacentral:rRNA from 1 species
UACGUAGGGUGCAAGCGUUAAUCGGAAUUACUGGGCGUAAAGCGUGCGCAGGCGGUUAUGCAAGACAGAUGUGAAAUCCCCGGGCUCAACCUGGGAACUGCAUUUGUGACUGCAUGGCUAGAGUACGGUAGAGGGGGAUGGAAUUCCGCGUGUAGCAGUGAAAUGCGUAGAUAUGCGGAGGAACACCGAUGGCGAAGGCAAUCCCCUGGACCUGUACUGACGCUGAGACGCGAAAGCGUGGGGAGCAAACAGG